rnacentral:lncRNA from 1 species
GAAAAUUGGAAAUUCUAUGAAAAUGCAGUUUCAUUUCAGGCAAGUUAGCUUUUAUCUGAUAUAUGCCUCAUGCCACAAGUAAGAUCUUGCAGUUGGUUGGAAUUUUUAUUUCCUUGUUUUUUGGUUUUGAUGUUUUGUUGUUUUCUUUUGUUUUUUUUUUUUUUGUUUUUUUGUUUUUUUUCCAGGAACAGAAUAGAGAAGAAUAUUUUCAUGUUAUAUAUUUUUACUAAGGGCAAAGAUUAACAAAGUAAGAGUGCAUUUAUCAUAUUACUAGAUUAGGAUCAGUUAGUUUUAGAUUUUCAAGUGUGAAAGCAUUUUAAGAUCUAAGAUCUUCUUGCACUAUGGUUACCUCAAGAUUCUCGCAGGUAAAUUUCAAGGCGAAAUUUAAUUUGAUAUUUAACAAUAAAAACAAAAUAUAAAAUGUGAAGUCUUAUUGGACUUCGGCACAAUCAGCCCUACCUCCACCACCAAUACCGUCAUCAUCAUCAUUGCCAUCAUUAUCAACAUUAUCAUUGUUGUUGCUAUCAUCAUCAGCAGCAGUGCCAUCCAUUUUAUUUAUUAUCUAGUUCACUAUUUCUAUAAUUGUCAUGUCAUGUCAUCGUGACCACUACCUCUACCAUAACCAUUGCAGUUGCCAUUGUUGUCACUAUCACAAACCAACAAAGCCAGCCUCUAUGUAGUUGUUCAACCUACAAGAAACAACAGCCAAAUUUCUCUUUAAUUCAUGAAAAUAAAUGAUGAUAAUGAAGAAGAAGAAGAAGAAGAAGAAGAAGAAGAAGAAGAAGAAGAAGAAGAAGAAGAAGAAGAAGAAGAAGAAGGAAAGGAAAGGAAAAUUGAGUAUUGUGGUCUUGGAUAUGCCUAAAAUGACGGGAUAGCUAUAUAUGGAAUGCUUUCCACCAUACAGCUGUUCAAUCAGAGUCAACUUGGAGCCAAACAACAGUGACAUCAUCAUAUCAUCAUCACACCACCACCACCACCACCGCUAAUUCCCUAAUUUUCCCCCUUUUCCCAUGUUCUACUUGGUUGAAUGGAUUUGAAAAACAAAUUGCCAGCGCCGUUUUUAGUUAAUUGUAAAUGAAAAACUACCAAACCAAGCAGAGUGAAAUUCAUAUCCAAGCUUUUAUAACUCCUCAAGCUUCUAACGUAAUUAUGUUUGGACUAGACACAAAAGACUUAUAUUCUAUGAAAGAGUACCUGCAAGUUAUAAUGUUCCAACCUUAUCUCCAAAACAAUAAGGGCUAAGUUAAUUCAACUUGGUUUCCACUAUAAUUGAAGAAAUUAAGUAGCAGACAUUAUUCUGCCUGGCUUAAUCAUCUCAAUGAUAAAAUUACAAUUCAAGAUAUCAGAGCACAUAUCAUUAUCCUUGUCGUCGUCAUUGCUUUUAUAUCAGCCUUUCUCAUACUGGCAUAGGUUGCACGAGUGUUAUUGAGGUUGGAUACACUUGUCACCAACAUCUAUUUGUUAUUUUAAGUAAGUUAUUUCUGUUCCACUGGUCUUUGCACACAAUGAAACCAUUGAGCAAUGAGGCAUAUUAUGUACAAAAGUCAGGAACACUGUCAUAGCUUUCACACAGUGACAAUGAAAAGAAGUGGAAAUGCUCACAAAUGUACACACAAACACAUACUCAGUGACUCCAACAUAUACAAAAACACAGAUACGUACAUACAUACACACACACAGACACACACAUACAUUAUAUAUAUAUAUAUAUAUACAUAGCGUUCAAAAUAAUUUUUCAAUCAUCUUGGCUUAACAACCCUCAUCGUUUGUUUUUACUGUUAUAUUCUCUUUGUUCAGUCUUUUACUGUUUUUACUUUUAUUGGUUUUACUGUCUUGUUUUGUUUUUACUGUCCUGUUCUCAUUACCACUUUUACCCCUCCGCAAAAAAUCCCAAAUUUUAUUUAAAUUUGUUUUGCAAGAAGGACUGUUUCAAUGAAGUUGCAUCUUGUCCUUACCUUCGAAAUGUGGAGUAGAUGAAACAGUGACAACUGAAGAAGGGGAAUAUUCCUUGUGUUGUAUGUCUUGUACUCUGUUUUUUCGAUGUUUGAAAAAAAGUUUGUUUCCAUGUUUUUGUUUUUAUGUUUUCGUUUCUCAUUGUGUUCAAUGUUUUUUUGAUAUCCUGUACCCAUAUAUGCAUGUAUAUAUACAUAUAGAUGUAGGUAUGUACAUAUAUGUAUGUAUAUAUGUAUAUAUUUAUAUAUUAUAUAUAUAUAUAUGUGUGUGUGUGUGUGUGUAUGUAUGUAUGAUGGGCAUCCAUACAGUUUCCAUCAGCUUACUGAUCAUCCUAAGGUUAUAAUAGAAAACUUACCAAGUUGCAAAGCUUAAGGUUAAGGAAGGAAAUUAAAGCCAUGUGGAUGAAAAAGAUUUUUCACUAAAUGCUACACACAUAUAUGUGUGUGUGUGUGUGUGUGUGUGUGUGUGUGUGUGUGUGUUAAAGUAAUAAAGUUAAUAUCUGGUCAUAGAGUGACCAAUGGUUUCACAUCGAUGAAGGCUAAAGCCUCGCAGACAUCUCAUCAGACUCUAGUCUGAAGUGUUCAGACUAGAGUCUGAUGAGAUGUCUGCAAGGCUAUAGCCUUUUGUGGAUGAAAAAAACCAUUGGUCACUCUGUGACCAGACAUUAACUUUAGUGCUUUAAUAUUUUACUGCUCUAUACUUCAGAGUGUACUUCUUGUGCGGAUAUAUGAUACAUUGACGAUGUGUGUGUGUGUGUGUGUGUGUGUGUGUGUGUGUGUGUGUGUGUGUGUGUGUGUGUGUGUGUGUGUUAGGAAUAACGAAUGAGCACACUAAACAUGUGGUAUCACUUUAGAGCAUAGGAUUUAUAAUUUAAAUAUAAUUGUAGAAUUGUUACAAUGGAAUUACUGGAAUAUAUGGUUUCAUAUUAAUAAUGGAGUCAUUUAGUUUAAAAUUCUCUUAGACUAGGAAAUGUUUAAUAAAAAGAAUUCUAAACUAAAUGGAUCCAAUUGCAACUGAUAAAUGUCUACUACAAGCCAACUACAGAAAAUAUAACAUCAUUUAUAAAUGUACAUUCCUAAAUAGACAGCAAAGUAGUAUCAAGGUUUACAUUGGAGCAACUGUUAAUUUUAAGCAAUAAUACUCAACACAUUUGAGCUCUUUUAAAUGUGGAAAAUACAGUGAAUCUACUUCAGUAGCUGACUACAGUAACUUGGUCUCAUCAUUGACUCUUCCUUGGCUUCUCCAUAACAGAGCGAAAUGAUGAUGAUGAUGAUGAUGACGAUGACGACGACAAUGGCGAUGACGACGACAAUGGUGAUGACAACGAUGACGAUGUUAACAACAACGACACAAUGUUGAUGACGACAAUGGUGACAACAACAAUGACGACAGUGAUGAUGAUGAUGAUGAUGAUGACGACGACGAUGAUGGCACUGACAACAACGAUGAUGGUGGUGGCAGCAGUGAUGACAGCAUUGGUUAUGAUGAUAACAAAGAUGACAACGAUGACAAUAAUGAUAUUGAUGAUAAUUAAGCGUUCCAAAUAACAACUAUUUUAAAUACAGCUUUUGCUCACCAAACAUUAAUCUGUAAAUAUUAUGGAAAACAGGAAAUAGUUACUCCCUGACUUUUUGAUUUGCUUGAAAUGCUGCAAAAUCUACUUCAAAAUAAACACUGCCAUCCUCAAAAUAGGAAUUGCUUCUUGGUUUCUUCACAAUGGUAAAUGAAUGUUUGAUUUACUAGAGCAUAAGAGCCGCAACUUUCUCAUACUUCAUUCCACCAUUGUAGACAAUGAAAAAUAUGAAAACAAGCAUUCAAAUUAAAAUCUACCUGUACUAAACACACCUUUGGCACAUCAAAUGUUAUUCUUCUUAGAAAAUAAGUUUCCAGUUUUCCUCAGAAGAUCUAAACAUCGUCAUUUCUUGGCACUAACACAAGAACAACAAACAAAAGCAUAUUUGCAUAUUUGUCAACUUACAGAACAACCCAUUUGGACUAAUUUUAGGGAGAGAUCAAAUCCGGUUUUACAGAAUCAUAAUCAUGCUAUGAUUUAGAUCUGAACUGAAAGAGUAACAAGUGGAGAACGAUCAAUGACAACAUUCUGAAAAUAUUUUAAUUCAAAUAUGACAGGAAAAAAAUUGAAAGAAUGACAAAAGGAAGGAAUUGAUGAUAGAAAGUUGAAAAAGAAUGUAUGUUGUGUGUAUCAUUUGUAUAACAGCAUAAUAAUAUGACAAUAAAGGAUUCUGUAGAAACCAAUGAGAGAGAGUCUUUCUGAAACCAAACCAUGGAAGAAAUAUAAUAACAUGCUUUAUAAACUCUAUGUAUAUUUUAUAUAUAACUGCUUUUAAUUUAGGCACAAGGCCAACCGUUUUGAGGGCCAGAGUCUAGUUGAUGCCAUUAUUCCCAGUGCUUAACUUGUACUGUAUUUUAUUAAAAUUAAUUUGUGGGGAUGAAAGGCAGAGUUAACCCGACUUCAGGAUUUGAAUUCAGAGUGUAGAGAGUUGGAACAAAUUACAAAGCAUUUUUUCAAAAACUAACAAUUCUACCAGCUUGAAUUUUUAUAGUUUAUAUAUAAAAGUAUAAUGCUACUGAAAGCAUAUCUACGUCUAUAUCUGUCCACAUAUAUAUUUUUUUUUUUCUUUACAGUAUCAUAGAUCUGUUUCAGCUUAUCUUGCCAAUCAGUUUCACACACACAUUAGAUAAUUAGGUGAUAACCUGAUUCUGUGCUCAUAAAAGAGGCCGAUAUGGAAAGAUUUAUGCAUCCAUCCUAUUGACAAAUAUGAGUGUCUGAUGUAUAUAUGUAUGUGUGUGUGUAUGUAUGUAUGUAUGUAUGUAUGUAUGUAUGUAUGUACGUGUGUAUGUAUGCAAGCAUGCAUGUAUGUAUGUAUGCAUGCAUGAAUGUAUGUAUGUAUGUAUGUAUGUAUGUAUGUAUGUAUGUAUGUAUGUAUGUAUGUAUCUAUCUAUCUAUCUAUCUAUCUAUCUAUCUAUCUCUAUAUAUAUACCUGUAAAUAUAAUAUGUGACAAUUAUUGAGUAGCCAUGAUAAAACUCUGAGUUUUGGAUGUUGGGGCAGAAACCCACACUGCCAUCUCUUCAGUUAUCUGGCCAUCAUCACAUAUUAUAUUUACAGAUAAAUUCUUCUAUUUACAUAAUAUCGAGGUCUCUUUCAUUCUUUUGUUGUCUUACCAUUUCUAUCAAUAUAUAUAUAUAUAUAUAUAUAUAUAUAUAUAUAUAUAUAUAUACUGAAUGAUACAGUUAUGAAGACUCACAUACAGGAUUUCAAGUUUCUGUAUCAAUAAUACAAUGAUUGCUUUGCAGCUUUAGCUGUCAUAAGUCUAGUGCCUGUAGCACCAUCAAUUACAAACAUGGAGGGAAAAACCUACCUUCCUACACACACACACACACACACAGUGCCAACAAAGUCUUUAGACAAUUUCAAAAAGUCAUUUUAGAAAACUUAGAAUAGGUGGCAACUAAAUUUUUGUUGCAUAUUAAUAUGUUAUCAUUAAAGUUUGUUUUUAAUGAUAUUAAUAGCUUUAUUAAUGUUAUGUCUUUAUGCUUCAGACAUCAAUUAAUGUUGUUUUUAUGUUUCAGACAACAGCUACUCCACAUGAAAUGUACAAUGUGCCUUGGUUUAUCGAAACAAAGCCGGAUGUUCAAACACAAAGAAAUUAUACCAUCUGUCAUUUCAACUUGCCCCAACUAAGUCUAUCUGUACUACUUCCACUCAAGUGCAACUACUAACAUCAAAAAUUCAUAAAGUGUUCCUUUUUAAAAAGCUGAGGCUUUAUGCAAAUAAAAUUCAGAAGGCACUUAAAAACUUAUCCUCCUUUCUUCAAAUACACGGA